ensembl:snoRNA
GUCCUUUUUGGUGUAUAAGCAUGAUGACUGGGUGGUUACACUGUUGUUUGGGGUGUGUCCCUCCCUCCAAACCCCAUUACAACAUCAGCACAUUACCUGUCUGAUG